GAUCCUGGCUCAGAUUGAACGCUGGCGGCAUGCUUUACACAUGCAAGUCGAACGAUGAACCUUAGCUUGCUAAGGGGAUUAGUGGCGAACGGGUGAGUAAUAUAUCGGAACGUACCUUGUAAUGGGGGGAUAACUAGUCGAAAGAUUAGCUAAUACCGCAUACGCCCUGAGGGGAAAGCGGGGACCGUAAGGCCUCGCGCGAUUAGAGCGGCCGAUAUCUGAUUAGCUUGUUGGUGGGGUAAAAGCCCACCAAGGCGACGAUCAGUAGCUGGUCUGAGAGGACGAUCAGCCACACUGGGACUGAGACACGGCCCAGACUCCUACGGGAGGCAGCAGUGGGGAAUUUUGGACAAUGGGGGCAACCCUGAUCCAGCAAUGCCGCGUGAGUGAAGAAGGCCUUCGGGUUGUAAAGCUCUUUUGUCAGGGAAGAAACAGCAGCUCUAACACAGUCUGCGAAUGACGGUACCUGAAGAAUAAGCACCGGCUAACUACGUG
rnacentral:rRNA from 1 species